AGGCAUAACCUUAAGUGGGGGUAACUGCAAGUAUUGCAACCUGCAGACGGAUACUCUUGGUUCAUACCUGUUCAUAUCUGUAACUCUGUAAUAUUUAAAGCUGGAGUAGCUAAUCUGUUUCAGAAACACUUUUUAUUAUAUUUCUUUAGAUUUUAGAUUUUCUAAAUAUCCCGAUAGCAAUGAAUAAAAUAAAUGCUCUGACAAUAAACAGAAAAAAAUUCGUCCUCUGUGUCAGUCACAGGGCUGUAAAAACUCUACCUACCUGUCUGUCAACUCCACUAGCGUGCCUGCGCAGUGCACUCGUGCUUCCUGCUGCAUGACCGAGCUGCUUCCGUGUCAGACAAGCGGCAGUCGCAGGUGAAGAAGAGGAAGAAAAUGCACAGCAAUGGCAGAGAAAGUUCAACCAGUUCCUCCGAAGGCUUUGAUGUCAGCAGCAGCUUCACUUGUAAAAGGAAGGCGGAAGCAGUAAAAAGCUGCAACGAAAAUAAACAAUAACAAGAGUUAACACUGAUGUCGCUUUACAACGAUGGCAAGAACUGAGGAGACAGAAGAGCUAAAAAGGGAUGGAUGGUGGCUGUAUUAAAGUUUUGAGAAAGACUCCUCAACUUCCACGACUUUACAAGAGGGAUUGAUGAGACCACCACCCCCGCUCCAGAGUUUCUCUCCCACCGGACAGCCACUGCCAAAGCAGAAGCAGACUGCCACAUGCAGAGCCUGACCUGUCAGCCAACACUGACCUCUGCUUAUAAUCAACAGUAAAUAUAUUGUGUA